CAAGAUUUGUUUCUUUCAACAGGUAUCUAUCUCUCUCGCGCCCAUCGAUUCAGAAUUUCAGAAGUUAGUUUGCGAAUUUCAUUACUUGAACCAAAGGUUUGAUUAUUUUUAGUGUUAAGUUAUGUAUGUGGAUGAUAUAAAUUGACAUCAGAUGAAGAAAUCAAAAGUUUUAAGUUGGCUUCUUGAAGUAUUAUUUGCAUUCAGGAGUAUCCCUAAAUCAUAUGGUAUAGAUUGAUUUCAUUGCUGCAGAGGAAUUGUCUAGAGAUCACAGGGAUGCCUUCAUGGAAUUUGUCAAAGAAAAGGUUCACGGAGGACAAAGAGCCAAUUGUGAGAUGGUGGUGGAAAUUCAAGCUAGAAGAUCAAAGUUUAUGGAUAAGACUAAUCUUGGAUAUUCAUCACACACCUAAGACUUGGCUUUAAAUUUUGUGCUUUAAUUUUUACACAGGGACACUUUCUAUCUUCUCUUAACAACAAUCUCUAGCACUAAAGGUAGUCUCAAGAAGAUGAUGAUGUUGUUGGAUGUUUAGACACGAGGAUAAGAUCUUUUGUGGCUAGGCGCAAUGCUGUUACAUCUGUAGUGUGGGCUAUCAGGUCAUGUUUUUGUUUCUUCAUGCAAGUUACAAUACAUAUAUAUUGAUGUCUUGGGGUAAUAAAAGACCUUGACCAGUUAUUUUGUGUGGUAUCCUUCUAAAAAGUUAUUAUAGUAGUCUUUUUGAGGUUUAGAAACGAGGACUGUACGUUCAGAAAAUAUAUAGACUGUAACUUCAGGCAUUCAAUCUUUUCAUUGUUAUUUUUGGUAGAGCACUUGUUUAUUUGGGCAACGGAUAUGGUUUGAAGUAAGAAUGUUUACCAAAAUUCUUGUAUUAUGUAGGAAGUCAUACUUGUAGAGCUUGAUGGAGACAUAGAUUACUACAUGCCUGUUGAACUUGGAGGUAGUGGUGGAAUGGUAUGCUUAAAAUAUAUUUUCGUCUCUCUGUGUUAUGCAUUAUGUUUCGCUAGGCAAUUAUUUUAUUUAUCUAGUUAUUACUUUUAUAAGGCUUAUUUCAACUAAUUUACAUGUUGAAGUUGAGAAAAACUAGUUGCUGGAAAUGCGCUAAAGGAUUGAAGAUGGUCAUUAUAGAAAAAACAGUUGAGCUUGAAACUAUGCGAAAAGAGUUUGCCAGCCAGCGACACAACUUGGAAGCUAUGAUGCAGAAGGUUAUGAAACAAGUAGUUGAAGAUCGAGAUGAGUAGAAUGUUUUCACUUUUUUAUUCUUGUAAUUGACUGUAGAGUUAUUUAACUUUCGGCAAACAUGUUGAAGUAC
rnacentral:lncRNA from 1 species